rnacentral:rRNA from 1 species
AUUGAACGCUGGCGGCAGGCCUAACACAUGCAAGUCGAGCGGAUGAAGGGAGCUUGCUCCUGGAUUCAGCGGCGGACGGGUGAGUAAUGCCUAGGAAUCUGCCUGGUAGUGGGGGAUAACGUCCGGAAACGGGCGCUAAUACCGCAUACGUCCUGAGGGAGAAAGUGGGGGAGCUUCGGACCUCACGCUAUGAGAUGAGCCUAGGUCGGAUUAGCUAGUUGGUGGGGUAAAGGCCUACCAAGGCGACGAUCCGUAACUGGUCUGAGAGGAUGAUCAGUCACACUGGAACUGAGACACGGUCCAGACUCCUACGGGAGGCAGCAGUGGGGAAUCUUGGACAAUGGGCGAAAGCCUGAUCCAGCCAUGCCGCGUGUGUGAAGAAGGUCUUCGGAUUGUAAAGCACUUUAAGUUGGGAGGAAGGGCAGUAAGUUAAUACCUUGCUGUUUUGACGUUACCAACAGAAUAAGCACCGGCUAACUUCGUG